rnacentral:rRNA from 1 species
GACGAACGCUGGCGGCGUGCCUAAUACAUGCAAGUCGAGCGAAUGGAUUAAGAGCUUGCUCUUAUGAAGUUAGCGGCGGACGGGUGAGUAACACGUGGGUAACCUGCCCAUAAGACUGGGAUAACUCCGGGAAACCGGGGCUAAUACCGGAUAACAUUUUGAACCGCAUGGUUCGAAAUUGAAAGGCGGCUUCGGCUGUCACUUAUGGAUGUACCCGCGUCGCAUUAGCGAGUUGGUGAGGUAACGGCUCACCAAGGCAACGAUGCGUAGCCGACCUGAGAGGGUGAUCGGCCACACGGGGACUGAGACACGGACCAGACUCCUACGGGAGCAGCAGUAGGGAAUCUUCCGCAAUGGACGAAAGUCUGACGGAGCAACGCCGAGUGAGUGACGAAGGCUUUCGGGUCGUAAAACUCUGUUGUUAGGGAAGAACAAGUGCUAGUUGAAUAAGCUGGCACCUUGACGGUACCUAACCAGAAAGCCACGGCUAACUACGUGCCAGCAGCCGCGGUAA